UUUCUGUGAGAAAAACACUUGCAGUUGCAUAUCAAUGUCACCAGCAGGAGGCAGUGUGGCGCUGUGCUUCCGCCGCUGACCCUCUUCUUCUCAGCGGUCUCCUGCUUCUCCACGGAACGAAGUUGCAUUGAUACAAAGUGUUGGUCGCCUGUGUCUAUCUUUUCUCCUGUUUUCUACAGAUGGUGAGUCCGCAAUUGGCUGUCGGUGUUACAUAAGGUUUCUCACGCGUUCUCUCUCCUGUCUCUGCCUGCUGCAUCGUCUAAAAACCACCACCGGCCCCUCCUCCCUCA